rnacentral:lncRNA from 1 species
UUUGGUCCAACAGAUGGGUAUAGGGGUCUUAAUACUCUUUUGGAUUCUAAGUUGGUUUGUAAGGCUCAUUGGUCCACAGGCAACUGUGAUCCACUCUUCAAGUCAAGGGGUCUUUUAUAUUAUAUUUUAUUUGAUAAAAAUAUAAGCACCACCAAAAACAAACUUUGCAUCUCUUGAGGUAGCUUCCCUCCCAAUGGUCCAAAGUAUUGGUAGUGGGUCUAAAAUAGUCUAUGGAGUUCUUAUUUGGUUUGUAAGGCCUGUUGGUCCAAAAGCAACUGUGGUCCAAUAUGCAUUAGUCCAGGGAUCUCAGGGUAUAUUUCACUAAAGAAAAAUAUAAGCACCACCAAAAAGAAACUUAGCACCACAGAAGGUAGCUUCCCUUCCUUUGGUCCAACAGAUGGGUAUAGGGGUCUUAAUACUCCUUUGGAUUCUAAGUUGGUUUGUAAGGCUCAUUGGUCCACAGGCAACUGUGAUCCACUCUUCAAGUCAAGGGGUCUUUUAUAUUAUAUUUUAUUUGAUAAAAAUAUAAGCACCACCAAAAAAAAACUUUGCAUCUCUUGAGGUAGCUUCCCUCCCAAUGGUCCAAAGGAUGGGUAGUGGGUCUAAAAUAGUCUUUGGGGUUCUUAGUUGGUUUGUAAGGCCUGUUGGUCUAAAAGCAACUGUGGUCCAAUCUACAUUAGUCUAGGGGUCUCUGGGUUUAUUUUACUGAAGAAAAAUAUAAGCACCACCAAAAAGAAAUGUAGCACCACAGGAGGUUACUUCCCUCAAUUUGGUCCAACAGAUGGGUAUAGGGGUCUAAAUACUCUUAGGGGUACUAAGUUGGUUUGUAAGGCUCAUUGGUCAACAGGCAACUGUGGUCUAAUCUUUUAGUUAAGGGUUCUCAUAGGGUAUAUUUCAUUAAAGAAAAAUAUAAGCACCAAGAAAAACAAACUAAGAACCAUGGGAGGUAGCUUUCCUCUCGUUGGCCCAACAGACAGAUUUAGGGGUCUAACACAUUCUUUGGGUCUAAGAUGAUUUGAAAAGCUCAUGUGGUUCAAUCUUCUAGUCCAGAGGUCUGUUGUAGUAUAUUUCAUUUAAGAAAUAUAAGCACCAUCAGGCACGAACUAAGCAC